GAAAACCCGCCUGGACGGGCAUCGCACGUCAUGCUUGCGUGCGUAUGCGCGGCCAGCAUGAGAUGUGCGCACUGUGCGUAUGUCCAAUCUGCACGGAGCACGAGUCUAGUCUGCAUGCAUGUCCCAUCGCGUACAGACAGGCCAGUUCGCGCAGAAGGCCUGCGUGCAAUAGGCCAGCACGCAACGCCCUAUGCAUGGCAGUCUAGGCCUGCAACACACGACUGACUUGGGGAGGCUUGCUGCUACCUCGGGUAGUGCGCCGCUGCCCCUUGAGCACUUUUGUGCUUCCUUGGGUGGUAUGCCAUUACCACCUUAGCGUGGUGAGCUGCUGCCGAUUGGGGGUUUUUUUCCUUUAUUUUUUGCGUUGCCAUCGCAUCGUGUCACAUCACUCUUUUUCCAUAUAAUUUUCUCUCUCCUCACCAGAUUUUGUCAUGUGACAUAAAUAUGACGGUCCCCAUUUUCAAUACAUAUGGACCCCUCUCUUCCCUUUUUCCUCAUUACU
rnacentral:lncRNA from 1 species